AGAGGAUCCGAAUUCGCAUGUGGAGAAGCUGAGAUCCUCUGGCACGAUGACUUCUGAAUGCAAAGAAGUUGAAGUUGGAAGCACUGUUGUGAAUGGCCUGGUACUGGGCAGUAAUGGACAAGACAGAGACUUGGAUCCUGCCAAAGUCUGUACUGGAAAGGGGGCUGUGACCCUCUGGGCGUCUCCAACCUAUGAGGAGAAUCGGAGCGUCAGUCCUACAAGUCAUUCACAAGACGUCCACCAAUCUGAAAAUGAUUGGAGGUUACCGCUUAGUGUCGACUCCAAUGGGGAUGCUCAGUCCUCUGCUCUGGCUGCCAAGGGCUACCGCAGUGUGCGGCCAAACCUCUCUGAGAGCAAACCACACGACCCCUGUCCUCUGCUCUAUGAAGCGCCCAGGUCCAGCAGUGGCACAGAGUGCUAUGGCUCCCUAACUCUCACCAGCAAACCCACCUCUGGGUACCCCUCCACCACCAUAGUCAACCCCACCAUCGUCCUUUUGCAGCACAACAGAGGUAAGGGUAACAACAUAUUGCCUUUUCCAGCUCAACUUGGGGCAAUUUUCAGCGAGGGCAAUUACCGAAUGGAGGAAAGGAAGAAAGUAAUUAAGAGUCCACAGUACAUGACCGAUUCCUCACCGGAUGACAUAGGCAUUCCAUUAAGGAACACGGACCGAUCAAAGGACUGGUACAAGACGAUGUUCAAGCAGAUUCACAGGCUGACAAAAGAUGAAGAUUCCGAUUCCUGUGUGCCUCAGUACUCCUUUUACAAAGACACAAGAGCACAGACUUCAGUACCCCGUUCCAAGAGCGAGAACGACACUAUCGACAUGGAGAAAGUGGUCAAGAGAUCUGCCACUCUGCCCCUGCCAGCUCGUACCUCUUCUCUUAAACCGAGCACUGAAAGGAAUGAUUGGGAGCCUCCGGACAAGAAGGUGGACACAAGAAAAUACCGCGCUGAACCUAAAAGCAUUUAUGAAUAUCAGCCAGGAAGGUCCUCUGUUCUGAACAAUGAAAAAUUGACAACUCUGGCCUUGUCACCUGGCUCGCCGUAUUCCCCCAGCUACCAUUCUGCAAAGAGAGAGUUUGAAACAGCUCUGGGAGAUGCCACCGGGCCGGAAAACGAAAGGCAAAUAUACAAAAGUGUUUUAGAAGGUGGCGAUAUCCCGCUGCAAGGGCUAAGCGGUCUCAAACGUCCCUCCAGCUCGGCUUCCACUAAAGAUUCAGAAUCACCAAGGCAUUUUGCACCACUUGAUUACAUGGAGAGUCCUGAAGAAUUUUCCCGCAGGCGCCACAGUGAUAAAGAGAAACUUUUAGAGGACCAGAGACGGCUUAGACGUGAGCAAGAAGAGGCUGACAUUGCAGCUAGAAGGCACACAGGGGUCAUUCCUACGCACCAUCAAUUUAUCACUAAUGAGCGGUUUGGGGACCUCCUAAUUGUAGACGAUACCGCAAAAAGGAGAUCUGGGUCAGAGAUGAGAGCUGCCAGAGCGAAGUUUGACUUUAAAGCCCAGACACUCAAGGAGCUCCCACUGAAGAAAGGGGAUGUCGUUUACAUUUAUAAGCAAAUUGAUCAGAAUUGGUUUGAAGGCGAACACCAUGGCAGAGUUGGAAUUUUCCCACAAUCAUACAUAGAGCUACUCCCUCCCACAGAAAAAGCUCAGCCUAAGAAAACAUCACCGAUACAAGUCCUGGAAUACGGUGACGCUAUUGCCAAGUUCAAUUUCAAUGGUGACACUCAAGUGGAAAUGUCUUUCAGAAAGGGCGAGAGGAUCACACUGAUUCGGCAAGUGGACGAAAACUGGUAUGAAGGAAAAAUCCCCAGCACUCACCGCCAAGGCAUCUUCCCGGUCACAUACGUGGACAUUUUCAAGCAGCCGGUGCUGAAGAACACACUAGACUAUGGCAGCUUGUCGUUCUGCCACUCCCCAAACCGGAGUCUGACAACAUCCCCGCAGGUACCUGCUCUGAAUCCAGCCUUGCGAAACCGUAAGGCUCUCGACAGGAACCACGCGCCACAAGAUAUGCUUAGCUACCAAGCAUUGUACAGCUAUGUCCCGCAGAAUGAAGAUGAGCUGGAGUUAAGAGAUGGAGAUAUCAUAGAUGUCAUGGAGAAGUGUGAUGACGGCUGGUUUGUUGGUGAGCAUGACAUCUGUCAUUUCAACUCGUUUUUAAAACGUUAA
ensembl:lncRNA